rnacentral:rRNA from 1 species
UUAAAUUGAAGAGUUUGAUCAUGGCUCAGAUUGAACGCUGGCGGCAGGCCUAACACAUGCAAGUCGAACGGUAGCACAGAGAGCUUGCUCUCGGGUGACGAGUGGCGGACGGGUGAGUAAUGUCUGG